UACGGAGGGGGUUAGCGUUGUUCGGAAUUACUGGGCGUAAAGCGCGCGUAGGCGGAUUGGAAAGUUGGGGGUGAAAUCCCGAGGCUCAACCUCGGAACUGCCUCCAAAACUCCCAGUCUAGAGUUCGAGAGAGGUGAGUGGAAUUCCAAGUGUAGAGGUGAAAUUCGUAGAUAUUUGGAGGAACACCAGUGGCGAAGGCGGCUCACUGGCUCGAUACUGACGCUGAGGUGCGAAAGUGU
rnacentral:rRNA from 1 species